rnacentral:lncRNA from 1 species
CGGUUUAGGCGGAAGGUUUCGUUUUCGCGCCGUCCAAAAAAGACGGAUUCUAAGGGGUUAGAGAACUUUCCCCGCUGUCCUUCUUUCAGCCGGUCCUAACUCCCUUCUCUUCUGGUUAAUCCUAUGAAUCGGUAAUCGGAUCGGCAACAGGUAAGAGGCUUUAUCCGGGUUCAAUUCCUUCGAUGCGAGCGGGGUAUAUCGAGAGACUCACCCACCGAGGACCGCCGUUGGCGCCUUUAUGUCUCCAUCUCUCGAGUCGAGCUCAAUCUCUGACAGGUAUUGUUUGGUCGGUGCGGAUGAUGAACCCCCGUUUGAAGAUGAGUGGAUCGGGAAUCUAACCCUACUUAUAAGUAAGGCGCACUAGCGCACCAAGCGGCAGGAUUGACUGGCUAGCUCGUGCAAUCAAGGAAAAAUUCCUUCGCGUUAGUAAGCCAAGCAAGCCGGGCACUACGGUAGGACGUGGAUCGAUCAUGACGAGAAUGGACUUCUCCGUAAUGUAAUAGAAGAGUCACAGUCCAGUUCUCCGGGCUUUCUCCGGAGAUAUGAAUGAAAUUCUGGCGGGUAAGGGCUUGGCUUGACCCCGUGUUCUCCCGCGCAAAGUUCAUCAUUCAAUGGUGGGGUGCUCAUAGAAAAGAAGGCGUCGCCCAACAAGUGGCAGAUUUUUAUGGAGUCUCGCUUUGACGCUGGGGAGAUCCAUAGAUCUGGAUAGAGUCUCGCCCAUAGAUAGAGGAAGACUACGCGCGCUAGCGCGCUACGGCUUACGCAGUUGAUCGGGUCAGAUAGCCCUUCGGGCAACCAACCGCACAUCAAAUUCCGAUCAACAACUUGGAGGUAUGGCUGAGUGGCUUAAGGCAUUGGUUUGCUAAAUCGGCAUACAAGAAGAUUGUAUCAUGGGUUCGAAUCCCGGCGGAACGGGCGGGCGAAAUUACGUGAGAGAAAGAGCCUCUUGGUGGAGUCCCCCCGGAGGACAGAAUAGCACUACUUAGUGACUAGGAGCGGAGAGCCCGUUGCGCGUUGUUUUUGUUUGACCGACCUAUCUUCUUUCUAAAAGCAAGCUCCCUCUGGCCGUCCAGUCCCUGGGUGGCUCUCGGUUCUUGAGCAUGGUUGGGAGAUUAGGCGGCAGUUGAAAGAGCUGCUUGAAAGCUUGACGAACAAGCGAAAAAAGCCCUUUACAAAGAUAUAGGGCUUUUCCCUUACUAGUAAAGUAGUAAGUUAGGGCGCUAUUCGAUGAAGAAAACAUACUUUAGGAAAGUUGUUUAGGUAGCUCAGCUGGUUAGAGCAAAGGACUGAAAAUCCUUGUGUCAGUGGUUCGAAUCCACUUCUAAACGGGCGAAGGCUCUGAAAGAGGAGCGGAGCCGGAUUCUAAAAAAAAAAGUGAAAGAGGAAGCCAAAAAGCCGUAUAGUGCAGGUUCUGAUUUCAUCAGGGUCAGAUUUUAUAAAAAAAGCGGUUGAUUACUCGGAUUGGUUCUCGCGUCCCGCGAGUUCGGCUCAAGUGUUCAUCGAUCGGGUGGAUCUAUAUGCUCCGGGGGGAGGGGUGAGACGCGAGGUGUAGCGCAGUCUGGUCAGCGCAUCUGUUUUGGGUACAGAGGGCCAUAGGUUCGAAUCCUGUCACCUUGAUGUGGCGUCACCACCUUGAUGUGGUGGCGAAGAAUUUCUUCAUUAAGUAAGUAGCCUAUGAUAUUUCUCGAUUUGCUUUUCCUCACAUUAGGUCCUGUAGAACUUGUUCCAACCGAGCCUCCUUUUUUUGGAUUUUAUGUAUUUGGUUCGAUCAGCCCAGUAAGAAUUAUGCUCGUCUCCAAUUGCAUCAUAAUUCCCGUGAUUCUCUUUAAGAUGAAAGAGGAUCCUUUUUUGAACUCCAUAUGCCGAUCUCAAUCUUUAUUUUUCGCAAUACCGUUCCUUCUUUUUUAUUUUUUCUUUUUUAUUGUCCCGCGGAAAGCUACUUUAUGCGAUACGCAAAUUGUAGCACCUCCAAUCGAGUUUUACCCGGCCCCGCCCGCGGGGGCCGAGGUUCCCGAGCCCCUCUCUCCGCCACCGCCCCGGCCGGAGAUUCCGGAACUAGCGCAACCCCUCAUGCUCGACCAGGAUAGGCGACACGAACUCGCCGUCGGGGUCGGUCUGCAGUUCUUCGGGCGAAAUGCCUGGAGGGACGUGACGCAGCAAAUGGACAUGCUCUCGCUGAGAAUGCUGCUCGAAACACGGAUCGAAGCCGCACUCAUCGACGAUGGGUAUCGUGCUGAGGAUCUCAUCCGGAAACGGUUCGAGGUCCGUGACGUUCUCUUUUACAAGAGGGACGGGCAGCCUUUCUCGGAACAAACCCUGCGGCGCUAUUUGUCUGAGAUAGACAAUAGUGGAACGCGGAGUUCUGUUCCCUAUCGGAAAGUGGUGCGCGGUAUUCGUAAUUCGGACAUCUGUCUGUAAUUACUGAAUAGCCCUCCCGGGGUGUGUAGAAUGGGGCGAGGCAUAGAAGUCUCUCGCGCGGGCGAAGGAGAUGCAUUUCUGG